rnacentral:rRNA from 1 species
AGUGAACGCUGGCGGCAGGCCUAACACAUGCAAGUCGAACGGCAGCACAGAGGAGCUUGCUCCUUUGGUGGCGAGUGGCGGACGGGUGAGGCAUACAUCGGAAUCUGCCUAUUUGUGGGGGAUAACGUAGGGAAACUUACGCUAAUACCGCAUACGACCUAGGGGUGAAAGCGGAGGACCUUCGGGCUUCGCGCAGAUAGAUGAGCCGAUGUCGGAUUAGCUAGUGGGCGGGGUAAAGGCCCACCAAGGCGACGAUCCGUAGCUGGUCUGAGAGGAUGAUCAGCCACACUGGAACUGAGACACGGUCCAGACUCCUACGGGAGGCAGCAGUGGGGAAUAUUGGACAAUGGGCGCAAGCCUGAUCCAGCCAUGCCGCGUGGGUGAAGAAGGCCUUCGGGUUGUAAAGCCCUUUUGUUGGGAAAGAAAAGCAGUCGGUUAAUACCCGAUUGUUCUGACGGUACCCAAAGAAUAAGCACCGGCUAACUUCGUGCCAGCCGCCGCCGUAACAC